GACAGAGUGAGGGAGGUUGUGAUUAGUGACAGAGGGAGGGAUGGGGUGACUAGUGACAGUCACCACCUCCUUCACUCUGUCACUAGUCACCCCCUCCCUCACUCUGUCAUUGUGUCACCCCCUCCCUCACUCUGUCACUAGUCACCCCCUCUCUCACUCUGUCACUAGUCAUCCCCUUCCUUACUGUC